AACGAACGCUGGCGGCAGGCCUAACACAUGCAAGUCGAGCGAGGACUUCGGUCCUAGCGGCGGACGGGUGAGUAACGCGUGGGAACGUGCCCUUUGCUUCGGAAUAGCCCUGGGAAACUGGGAGUAAUACCGGAUGAGCCCUUUGGGGGAAAGAUUUAUCGGCGAAGGAUCGGCCCGCGUUGGAUUAGGUAGUUGGUGGGGUAAUGGCCUACCAAGCCGACGAUCCAUAGCUGGUUUGAGAGGAUGAUCAGCCACACUGGGACUGAGACACGGCCCAGACUCCUACGGGAGGCAGCAGUGGGGAAUCUUAGACAAUGGGGGAAACCCUGAUCUAGCCAUGACGCGUGAGCGAUGAAGGCCUUAGGGUUGUAAAGCUCUUUCAGCUGGGAAGAUAAUGACGGUACCAGCAGAAGAAGCCCCGGCUAACUCCGUG
rnacentral:rRNA from 1 species